AGAUUGCGGCCUAUGAAGAGAAAUACAGGUUCUUCUGCAGGAUUUCACCUAUAAUUGCAGACUGCACAACGCUGUUAAGGCAGUUCUGGGACAUUGAGGAGCGAAGCCAUGUCUUCAGCCACCGGAGAGCACUAAAGCUUCUCUCUGCCUCAGCUGAUGAUGCUGGAACCACAAGAAGCAAGCGCACCAGUGUCUCCACUUGGUUGAAGAGCCCACGAACCUCAGGGCUUAUGUAGCAGUGGUUUCUUUUGAGCCAGCUGGCCAGAGUAGGAUCACUCUCUGUCAUGAAGAGAAGAAGCUGGUGGAAAUUUCCUUCCUCUUGGCUGUGCCCCCUCAGAGGCAAGCCCUGUUGGGUCAGGUGUCUGUGGACUUGAUUCUCUGGAUGUUGUUGGCUGUACUGAUUGUUCCUGCUCUCUAAAUGCAACAGUCUCCCCUGCCUCACCCAAGAUUUUCCAUGCUGAUGACUGUGCAGUAGAAGUGGAGUAGACCUCCUGUCAGAAAACAUCUCCAAGGUGCUACGAGUAUGAAUCCAAUGACAAGUACAAUCAAACACAACAGAUAAGUAUCGACAAAAGUAUUCAGCUAAUCAACAAACAAUGCUCAAAAUAUCAAAAUCAAUUGCACUGGCAAUAAACCCAUAAACACACUGCUUAACAAUGACAAUUUGUACCUCCUCCUCGUCAAUUCCCUGCCUUCUUCAUCACAGUUACUUUAUACAUUGCAUGCCACAUACAUAACCGAUUUUAGCUAGCUGCUGAACAAUAUCCCAAUUAGCAUUAGUCUAAAAAACGAAAUAUAAUACAUAAAACACUCGACAUGUCGACAAAACAUAAACAGAACAUCUUCCCAAACACAUAUCAAGCUUAUUUAAAAAGCUCGAAAGCAUAA